GGGGCUGUAGCUCAGUGGCAGAGCACUUGCCUAGCAUGCAUGAGGCACUGGGUUCAAUCCUCAGCACCA
rnacentral:tRNA from 1 species